GCGAGAGUGGCGGAACUGGCAGACGCACUAGAUUUAAGGAUCUAGCGUUUUCAGAACGUGUGGGUUUAAGUCCCACCUCUUGUA
rnacentral:tRNA from 1 species